rnacentral:lncRNA from 1 species
AUGUGGAAUGAUUUCAGGCUAAGAUGGAUCCAACCAACUUUCAUCCAUGCACCCUGUUCUGGGAAUAAUCCUGCCAGCCCUUGGUGGUGUAAAUGGCAGAUGGGAACAGAUGACUGUGGCCUCUCAGCAUCCUGCCUUCCUGUGGUCCUGGGGCAAGUCCAGCUUCAGAGGGAGAACAGUCCUCAGGUCUUAAACGUCAGAAUCAGCUUUUCAGUUUGGGAGAGUUCUUGGGUGGCCCUCACCCACCAGGCCCUACUCACAUCAGAGUUCCAGUUGAGUUGGGGGACUUUAUGCUGUAGUCUGGUUCCAACACACUGUGGCUGCAUCACAGAAGGUAAGUUGAAAGUUAGGUGUCCUUCCAGUGAUGAAACAGAAAAUAAACAGAUUAUCAGGCCCUUCCCCCAACCUGCUGAUUAGAGUCUGUACUUCAAUGAGAUCCCAG